AGUCGCCCUCGGACGCCUGUGGGGAAUACAAUAUGAAAUUUUCACUCAUCUGUCUCUGCCUGCUGGCUGUCAUCCUCCACACGCAAGUCGGGUCUUCGUCCGCGGAAUCCCCCUCUAACGGCGUGUUCCGGCUUCUCGGCGCGAUGGACUUCGACUGGGGUAGCGUGGAGGACCCGUCGAGUCCCGUGCGAUGUCUAGCGAACGUGGCCGUCAUGGGCUUGGUUUGGGCGUGUUAUUCGCGCUUCACGAUAUAGGGGAAUGUGAAGGAAAUAUAUAUUUAUUGAAAUUUUA
rnacentral:lncRNA from 1 species